rnacentral:rRNA from 1 species
UGGGGAAUAUUGCACAAUGGGGGAAACCCUGAUGCAGCAACGCCGCGUGAACGAUGAAGGCCUUUGGGUCGUAAAGUUCUGUUCUAGGUGAUGAAAACUGACAGUAACCUAGGAGAAAGCCCCGGCUAACUCCGUGCCAGCAGCCGCGGUAAUACGGAGGGGGCAAGCGUUAUCCGGAAUUAUUGGGCGUAAAGGGUACGUAGGUGGCCUUUUAAGCGUAGGGUAUAAGGCAAUGGCUCAACCAUUGUUCGCCCUAUGAACUGGAAGGCUUGAGUGCAGGAGAGGAAAGCGGAAUUCCUAGUGUAGCGGUGGAAUGCAUAGAUAUUAGGAGGAACAUCAGCGGCGAAGGCGGCUUUCUGGACUGCAACUGACACUGAGGUACGAAAGCGUGGGGAGCAAACAGGAUUAGAUACCCUGGUA